GACGAACGCUGGCGGCGUGCCUAAUACAUGCAAGUCGAACGAAGCUGUUUUAACUGGUGCUUGCACCGACUUAAACAACUGAGUGGCGAACGGGUGAGUAACACGUGGGUAACCUGCCCCAAAGCGGGGGAUAACAUUUGGAAACAGAUGCUAAUACCGCAUAACCACAGAAGCCACAUGGUUUCUGUGUCAAAGAUGGUUUCGGCUAUCACUUUGGGAUGGACCCGCGGCGUAUUAGCUAGUUGGUAAGGUAAUGGCUUACCAAGGCAAUGAUACGUAGCCGAACUGAGAGGUUGAUCGGCCACAUUGGGACUGAGACACGGCCCAAACUCCUACGGGAGGCAGCAGUAGGGAAUCUUCCACAAUGGACGAAAGUCUGAUGGAGCAACGCCGCGUGAGUGAAGAAGGUUUUCGGAUCGUAAAACUCUGUUGUCAGAGAAGAACGUGUGCGAGAGUAACUGCUCGUGCAGUGACGGUAUCUGGCCAGAAAGCCACGGCUAACUGCGUGCCAGCCGCCGCGGUAA
rnacentral:rRNA from 1 species